rnacentral:miRNA from 1 species
AUUUGGGGUGGGGGAUGGGGA